CAUAUAAAUAAUUAUAUUUUCCCUAUAGCUUAGAACAUCCUUUGGUUCAGGAGUAAUGUAUGCUCAGAAGUAUGUGGAGCGGGUUGACACAAAAGAAGACCAUGUCAUAGUUUAUUUAACAGAGAUUCCAAAACAUAUUUCUAUGAAUUACAAGAUGCAAAUGAAACAAGUUCUUCCAGUGAAGAAUCUCAAGCCAGCAGUGGUCAAAGUGUACCAAACAAGUGAUCAGUCUGAGACGGAGUACUCCUUCCACUGUCAAUGAGGUCAUGCCCUUCAAUUCUGCAGCUCAUAAUACUGUAUGAGCAGUUAUUUUCAGUGGCAUUGGUUUAUUUCAUUUGUGAUGUUUCAUGUGCAUUUUCAAAUGUGUACUCGGUGGCACUCACAAUUUUGUUUGUAAUUUGUUCUUGUCUUUUAACAGAACAUGUUUGAUCUUAUCAUAGAAAAUAAAUCAUUUUAAUGUUGUAAAAAUAAUGAAACCACCAAAAUAUUGUACAAUAAACUGUAACGUUUUCAGAGCAUCCCAGGAAAAAGCUGCUCUAUAAAUCUAUGCUGCCUUCAAAAAUCGAUCAGGCGCUAAGACGCGAGGAGAGGAAGCAAAGAAAGGAAACAAGGAUGCACAAAUAAGAAAUAAGAAGCACCCAUAGACUACUUCGAAUUCCACAGUUACUGGUGCCAGCCCCUCUUUAACGGAAUGCUUAAGUUUCGAAGUUCAGUAAAGUUGAAAAAUCAUAAAAAUGAUGCAAACGCAACUAAGUAUUGUAGUAUAACCAAG